GAUGAACGCUAGCGGCAGGCCUAAUACAUGCAAGCCGAACGAUACCAGAGAGCUUGCUUUCUGGGAAAGUGGCGCACGGGUGCGUAACGCGUAUGCAACCUACCUUAAUCAGGGGGAUAGCCUCUCGAAAGAGAGAUUAACACCGCAUAAAAUCACACUUCGGCAUCGAAGAAUGAUCAAAUAUUUAUAGGAUUAAGAUGGGCAUGCGUGACAUUAGCUAGUUGGUGAGGUAACGGCUCACCAAGGCUACGAUGUCUAGGGGAUCUGAGAGGAUGACCCCCCACACUGGUACUGAGACACGGACCAGACUCCUACGGGAGGCAGCAGUAAGGAAUAUUGGUCAAUGGAGGCAACUCUGAACCAGCCAUGCCGCGUGCAGGAAGACGGCCCUAUGGGUUGUAAACUGCUUUUAUACGGGAAUAAACCUCUCUACGUGUAGAGAGUUGAAUGUACUGUAAGAAUAAGGAUCGGCUAACUCCGUGCCAGCCGCCGCGGUAAAAC
rnacentral:rRNA from 1 species